rnacentral:rRNA from 1 species
GGGGUAAAAUUAAUGAUUUAAUAAUUAAUAAAAGAAAUUUUAAUAUUAAAAUAUAUUUAAUGGGGGUUAAAGUAUUUUUAAUUGAAAAAAUUUGAAAUUUUAUAGUUUAUUAGUAUUGUGAAAGAAUUUUGAAAUAAAAUUUGAAAAUAAAAUAAUUUAAAAGUAAAUUUAAUUUAUUGUAUCUUGUGUAUCAGAGUUUAUUAAAAAAUUUUUAUUAUUUUAAAUUUCUCGAAUUUAAAAGGGUUAAUUAAUUAAUAAAUUUAUUGUUUUAUAAAUAUUUUAAAUAAUUAAUUAGAAAUGAAAUGUUAUUCGUUUUUAAAUAUAUCUAGUUAUUUUAGAAAAAAAUUUAAUUUUUAAUUAAAUUUUAAAAUUAAUUUAUUGUUUAAUUAAUUUUAAAAUUUAAUUUAAUAUUUUAAGGGAUAAGCUUUAAUUUAAAAUUUUAUAAUUAAAAAUAAAUUAUUUGAAAAUUUUAUAAUUUAUAUUGUUAAUAAAUUUUAAUUUAUUAUAAAUAAUUUCAUAAAUAAUAAAAUUUAAUUAAAAAUUUAAAUUUUUAUAAAAAAAUUUUUUAUAAUAAAAAAAAAUUAUUAAUAAUGAUAAAAUUAGUAUAUAAAUAUUUAAUUUAUUUAAUAUAUUAAUUUUUGGGAAUUAUUUUAAAGGAAUUCGACAAAUAUAUAUAUUCACCUGUUUAUCAAAAACAUGUCUUUUUGAUUAAUAAUUAAAAGUCUAAUCUGCCCACUGAUAAUAAUAUUAAAGGGCUGCAGUAUAUUGACUGUACAAAGGUAGCAUAAUCAAUAGUCUCUUAAUUAGUGACUUGUAUGAAAGAUUGGAUGAAAUAUAAAUUGUCUCUAUAAUAUUUAUUGAAUUUAAUUUUUUAAUUAAAAAGUUAAAAUUUUUUAAAAAGACGAGAAGACCCUAUAGAGUUUUAUAUUUAUUUGAUUUUUAAAAUUUUAAUGAAUUGUUUAUUUUAAAAUAGAUUAAAUAUUUUAUUGGGGUGAUAAAAAAAUAAGAAUAACUUUUUUUUAAAUUAAACAUAAAUAAAUGAAUUUUUGAUCCAAUAUUAUUGAUUAUAAGAAAAAAUUACCUUAGGGAUAACAGCGUAAUUUUUUUUUUUAGUUCGUAUAAAAAAAAAAGUUUGCGACCUCGAUGUUGGAUUAAGAUAAAAUUUAAAUGCAAAAGUUUAAAAUUUUGAUCUGUUCGAUCAUUAAAAUCUUACAUGAUCUGAGUUCAAACCGGUGUAAGCCAGGUUGGUUUCUAUCUUUUAAAAUAUUUUAUAUUUUAGUACGAAAGGACCAAAUAUUAUAAUUAAAUUAAUUAAUUGGAAUAUUAUUAAUUAUAUAAAUAAAUUUGG